UCAUAUGGAUCAAAUCUGUCCCAGAGGGCCCUAUCCUGGGUGCAGGCAUCCUCCUGAGCAGCAAGUCAAGGCAGAGAGCAGCAGUCAAGGCCAAGUGGGCAAGGCAAUCGACUCGGCGUACAUCCAGCCCCCGUCACCAACCGGCCGAUGCACCUGGUUUCCUGCAAAUGUGAGCCCCGUGGAAG